rnacentral:lncRNA from 1 species
GCAGAGAAGAAUAAAUGAGAGAGACUUUGUUGGUGAAAACUCCCCGGGGCACCACUAGUCGAAAGUGAGUCGCGAAGCUGAUGCAAAGAAUUGGCACAAACAAGCCCGACUUCAAAGCUCAUAAGAAUGGUAAAAGGAAAGAUUACAGCAGUUGAUAGAUCAUGCCGUUAAGUACAAAAUGCAUGUCAUGAUCAUUAAUGCUAGUUAUUGAAAAGAAAGAAGAAGAAAAAAAUAUAAAAAAACCUUCUUUCUAUCCUUCCCAACAGGGACAUUUCUUGUUAAUAUUAUUUCUUUGCAUCAUUUGUGUCCUUCACUUUGAGUACAUCCUUGUCAAAACAAGCAAGAAAAGAUUUCAAAAUCUGCUACCAGCUUUUCAAUUGCACAAAGUAAAAUUGGCCAGCACACUCAGUUGUCACUUUCAACAUGUCCUGAGGAUUCAUGCAAAGUCUCCCCCCAAAAGACUCUUGUCAGCCUACUUGGCGCAAGCAAAGAUAACUUGUGACUUUAUCUGACAAACAAAUUGCUCAAAAAACAAUAAGUCAUUCAUGAUAUCAGAAAGGGUCAUCUAAGCAAAGAUCUCCAGUUGUGAUAAGGCUGAUUGAGAUGCAAAUAUAAAUGGUACUGGGUGUGAAAAAAUCAGAGUUGAUGCAGAACAAAAGUCUCUUGAGACCGAGUCAGGCUGAUCGAGCAAAAGCCAAGCUACUCAAGACUCAAGGCCACAAACCGACCACCAUUUUCAAAACUAACAAAUUUCUCUUUGUGUGAAAUGGGAACAAAGCAAUGCAAGAAAAGUGGUUCAAAAAUAAAACCAAAAGAAAAAACAAAAAAAAAGAGAAAAAAGAAAAGAAAAAAAAGAGAAAAAAGAAGAAGAAAAGAAAAACAAAAAAAGAAGAAGAGAAGAGCCGACAAAAGGAAGUUUCUCAAAUCUUUGCCUUUAUUUAUCUUGCUAUUGUGCAUAAAAUCUUGUCAUUGAUUUUUAAAUUUUUCCUCCUAGGAUAAAAAGUACAAGUCUGAUGGAUUUUCCUCCCAAUAAAAAUCUUAGUCUGAUGAAUUUUUCUCCUAAGAUAAGAAAACCUAGUCUGAUGAAUCUUUCUCCUAGGAUAUAAAUCUUAGUCUGAUGAAUCUUUCUCCUGAGAUAACAAAAAAAAAGAACCUAGUCUGAUGAAUUUUCUCCUAGGAUCAAACAUCUUAGUCUGGUGAAUCUCUCUCCUAAAAUACAAAAAAAAUCUUAGUCUGAUGAAUUUUCCUCCUAAGAUAGAAGACCUAGUCUGAUGAACUUUAUCCUAGGAUAAAAAUCUUAGUGUGAUGAAUCUUUCUCCUAAGAUACCAAAAAUAAGAGACCUAGUCUGAUGAAUUUUCUCCUAGGAUCAAAAUCUUAGUCUGAUGAAUUUUUCUUCUAAGAUAGAAGACCUAGUCUGAUGAACUUUCUCCUAGGAUAAAAAUCUUAGUUUGAUGAAUCUUUCUCCUAAGAUACAAAAAAAAGAGACCU